AAUUUCAGGCUGCAGACUUGAAGUCUUUAGGCUGCAGACACUUCAUUGACAUGCUAAAUUAGAAAACUAGGAGGGAAAGCAGCCCCCCACCUCAAGUGCGAAGCUUCAGCUGAAGUUUUAAAUGGACCUUGGCAGAUAGGCUCUUCCUCUGAAGAACGUUUACACUUCUGUCUGUUCACAGUCAGACAGCAAGUCUAUUUCCAAAGGACUGCUCUGAUGGACGAGUCUGAAAAAGGACAUAACCCAGUGUUUUCAACAGUUGCAUUGGUAGAGGCAGCCAGAAGGCACGUGCAGCCCAUUAGGAACCUCACACUACAGAGAGUAUUUCUUCACAUAGUAUAUUUAAAGGUUUUUCUUGAAUAUCAAUUAGUCCCAGAAGCAGCUGUACUCAUGGCCAGUUACUGCAUGUAACUGCUUCCUUCAGGGACUCCCUUGCUGCUCUCCUGUGCUGCAGUUUGUUGUGGUCCUGAGUCCCCUCACUAUGAAUGCAGCCACAAUGAUUUCUUCUCCUUCAUCUUCCAUCCUGCCAUGUACUUCAUGACAUCAACCAUAUAUUUUCCUGCUAAUAAUAUCUUUUGUAAAUUUUAUAUAUAUGUCAGUUGCAAAUUGCUCAGAUGCUACACUGAGAGGCACAGAAGUGUCUUUAAGAGAAUCUGCAGCUUUUACUGAAGCAAAACACCAUCUGGAAUAAACAAUAUACUU
ensembl:lncRNA